AUUCCAGCUCCAGUAGCGUAUAUUAAGGUUGCUGCAGUUAAAAAGCUCGUGGUUGGAUUUCUGUUUUCACAGAGCCUACUUCCUCAAGGUCGUGUGCGCCGUGUUUUGUGUGCCAUCCUUCUAGAAAUUGUGUUCUAUCCCUUCACUGUGAUAGAUCCGAGAUCUAGAUCUUUUACUGUGAAGAAAUUAGAGUAUUCAAAUCAGGCUCGCGCUGUGAAUCCUUUAGCAUGGAAUAAUAAUUUAGAACUUGGUUGGUUUUCAGGAUCUAAGUCAUGAUUGAUAGGGAUAGUUGGGGGUGCUAGUAUUUUGCGGCCAGAGGUGAAAUUCUGUGAUUCGCGAAAGACUAACUUAUGCGAAAGCAUUCACCAAGGACGUCUUCAUUA
rnacentral:rRNA from 1 species